UACGUAGGGUGCAAGCGUUGUCCGGAAUUAUUGGGCGUAAAGAGCUCGUAGGCGGUUUGUCGCGUCUGCUGUGAAAACUCAGGGCUUAACCCUGAGCCUGCAGUGGGUACGGGCAGACUAGAGUGUGGUAGGGGAGAUCGGAAUUCCUGGUGUAGCGGUGGAAUGCGCAGGAUAUCAGGAGGAACACCGGUGGCGAAGGCGGAUCUCUGGG
rnacentral:rRNA from 1 species